CUUGCAGGUUUAUCAGGCCCAUCUCAGAUUUGCUCCAGGAACUUUGACUUCUGGCAACUCUUUUGUCCAGAGUGGGCUUUGUUCCACUUGGGCUUUUAAAUGCACAUAUUUGAAUUACUGCAUCAACCUACGCACAAUCUCAUAUAAAUUUAUAUUAAACUUGCACAGUUUAUUACAUUUUGAGGAUGGGGAGGUCGUGGAAUGGAAUUCCAGAGAAGCUGUGGCUGCUCCUGGAUCCCUGGGAGUGUCCAAGGCCAGGCUGGAUGGGGGUUGAGCAACCUGGGACAGUGAGAGGUGACCCUGCCUCCCUCCUGAUUUCAUCUGAGGUUUCCAAAACCUGAUGGAGGAAUUUGGUCACGUCUUCAUCUAUUGCAAGUGACAUUUGGGCUGCCCCAUCUGCAAAACACCUGAUGGCAUCAUGAGCUGCUCUGGGAAACAUCUGGUCUUGAGAGUUUAUGUGACAGUUCUUCACUUUUCUGAAUCCUCCUGAUAAUAUUUAUGGGAAUCUUUGAGCCACUGUUUUGAACACGUGCAGAGGGAAUGGUUGUAAAUGAACAUCCAAGUUCUGCAAUGCAAACUGAAAAGCCAACUCAUCAAAUUCACAAUCUGGGAUUUUUUUUGAAGUAUAAAUUAUAUUUCUCUGAUCCCUGGGCUGGGGGACCACAGAGCUCUGAUUUCACAAAUCUUUCCCUGCAAUGAGCCAAGAGAUUGAAAAUGGAUCAAGACUUUUUUGGAUUUUUAACACACUUCUGGAGAGGUAGAUUUGAAAAGUACAAUUUUGUUUCUUCUGGGAGGGUUGUUUAAUAUCAUUU
rnacentral:lncRNA from 1 species